UGGGGAAUAUUGCACAAUGGAGGGAACUCUGAUGCAGCGACGCCGCGUGAGUGAUGAAGGAAUUCGUUUCGUAAAACUCUGUUCUAUGGGAAGAAAAGGACUGUACCAUAGGAGAAAGCUCCGGCUAAAUACGUGCCAGCAGCCGCGGUAAUACGUAUGGAGCGAGCGUUGUCCGGAAUUAUUGGGCGUAAAGGGUGCGCAGGCGGCUUUACAAGUUGGAUGUGAAAUAUUGUGGCUCAACCACAAACGUGCAUCCAAAACUGCAAAGCUUGAGUUAAGGAGAGGUAAGUGGAAUUCCUGGUGUAGCGGUGGAAUGCGUAGAUAUCAGGAGGAAUACCGGUGGCGAAGGCGACUUCCUGGACUUAAACUGACGCUCAGGCACGAAAGCGUGGGGAGCAAACAGG
rnacentral:rRNA from 1 species